AACAUUUUGACGCCUAACCCAAUGUUUAACACAAAAUAAUAUGUACACGUAAAGAGUAUAAAUAUACGUGUAUCAACCGAACUGUACACAUCUUAACUUAGCUUGGACAUUUUAAAUAAAAAAUCACACUAAGAAAAAACGGAUACCAUGAAUGUGUUCUGUCAAAAGGUUAUUGUUGUCGUUUACAUGGCUGCAGUAUUGAUGGCUAGCUUAAUACAAGCUAGAUACGUAGAACCUGGAGAGAACGAGGGUUAUGAAACUUAAAAAUGCAAAGUAAGUACUAAAAUUAAUGUAUGCUUCACAUUGAUAAUAAGAACGUAGUUCAGAAAAUAUAUAUAGACAAUAGACAAAGCCAAGGAUUACACGUGCAUGCAAAAAUAUCUAAUAUAAAAGUUGAGCUUGCAUUUUUAUUCGAAUUGCUUAUACUCAAAUAUUAAAUACGAGUAAAAAAAAUAACAAAAUGAUCUUUCAAACAGUACAAUUACUAGUAAUUAAUCCUUUACCAGAAAUAAAAUUUAAGAAGGGUGGUAAAAUUGUAAAAUAGCCGUAAUCUUGGCAGUUUUGAUAUUACAGAACACGUUAUAGAAAAUUUAGUCAACAAUGCAUCAACCAACUAUGUAUUUUGUUUGGUUUUUAACUGAUUUCCUUCGAAUGUCAGUAAGUAAAUGAGCGAGAGUCUGGCGAACAACAAUUUAAAUCUGGUAUAUAUAAUGAGUUCAUUUGUACUUUAUUAAACACAUUGGCAUAAAAUAACAAAAAGAGUAAAUGAAAGUACAGGAUUUCAUGAACGUCGGGAUAUAUGGCGGUCGGGUUACUAUGUAUUUUAACAUUUUUGUAGUUUGCAACAUACAACAUUAUAAUAUGUUCUUUUUCUUAAUAUUUGCACAAUAAUUUACUGAAUAUUUGUUUUUAUUUACAGUUGAAUUGGUGUAAAGACAGAAGUCCAUGAGAUGUAAUGGAAAUUGUGAACAUUGGUAGCUUUAGUGGAACAGCUUUUUAUAUCUUAUUUAGAAAAUAAAGUAUAUUCUUUAGAAAACAUUGUUUUGUUGUGAAUUAGUUAAUUCAGUAUAUACAUUCACAUGUCAAUGUCAGUGUUUGGCUUUUAAUCAAAUUUUGAAGAUAGUUAGACAAAUGAGGAAAUUAUUGAUGUGUUUAAACAUUUGAAUCAAAAGGACAUGAUAAAGACGAUGCAAGAUCAAUAAUGGAUAGGUGAAAUGAAUGAACAAGAUAUAGAGCUGAGCGCGACAUAGUAGCAGGAG
rnacentral:lncRNA from 1 species